GCGCCACACAGCCAAUAUCAGCCUAAUGCACUGCGGUGUCUGUGUGUAUAUGUAUCCGUUGUCAGUGCUGAGAAAAGCAAAGGAUCACACUGAGAGCUUGUCAUAGGGUGGAGCUGCCAUCUCGCUGAUUCACGUUAACAUCUCGUCUCGCCGAGUCUUGAGACUGUGCGGUGCUAUCACGAAUUUAGGUGUCUCUUUUCACAUCUUUUGGAACAUCUUUUCGUCGUGUUUUCAUCUUUAUAUAAGAACACAGUUUUCAAGGAAUACAUCACCUGAACGGGGUUGGUGACAAAAUGUCCAAACGUCACAUUUUCAAUUUAAAUGGGACAAAGUUUGAGUUGAGCAAGCAAGUGUUUUUUAAACUCGUGGAGUGUAAAAAUGUCGCUCUCCCUGAACCGGAUGUGACAAACAGUAAAGGAAAGGAAUACUUUUUUGAGAGGAAUGCUGGGUGUUUUGAAGCCAUCUUGGAAUACGCGCAACACGGGACUCUUCACAUGCCUGCCACCGUGUGUCCAAAUACGUUUCAACGAGAGCUGGAAUUUUGGAGAGUGGACGCCAGGCUUAUGGCUCCUUGCUGCUACCGGAAGUAUUUGGCUUUCUUUGACGAUGAACGAACCCUGAAACGAUUUGAACAAAAUAUACCCCUGCAAGAACCAAAGGUGAAAGGUCAAUCCAGCAGAGGUUGUAGAGCAAGGACGUGGGCGCUGCUUGAUGACCCAUCUUCGUCUGUCGGGGCAAAGGUUUACCUGGGAGUCUCAACAGCGUUCGUCUUGAUAUCGCUGUUCGUUUUAGCAGCAAGCACCCACCCCUGCUUCCAACGAGAUCUUGACGAGAAUGAAUGGACUUUGGUUCUUGGAAAAGAUGGCUACAACAAACACAAAGAUCGAUUACCUGUGCAUGGACCUCCCAAACCCGUCCAAGGUCAAGUUCAAGGUCAGGCUACAGGUCAAGUUCAAGGAGGCGGUAGAACAUCCCCAAUUCCUGUUUCGGGGACACCGCCUCCUGACCCUACUGCCAAGUUAGACGGUGAAGAGAAGGAGGAUGAACUGGAUAUCGAUACGGCCUCAAUGCACUCGCGGCAAAUCUUUUUGACGUAUAUGGAGUACGCAACUAUAGCCUUCUUCACUCUGGAAGCAAUAUUCAGAAUCAUUUUCUGUCCUAGCAAGUUACGCUUCUUCCGAAAUUUUCUAAACAUAAUGGACCUCGUAAGUUUGGUUGCAAUGUACACGACGACCACAGUUGAGAAUCUCCUCCCAGAAGAGCGGUACAAGAGCUCGGUUCUGGAUUACGUGGAAAUUCUGCAGAUUCUGCGAAUUUUCCGAGUGUUCCGAAUCGUUAAGGACGUGAUCGGGUUCCGCGUUCUUGUUUAUUCCCUGCAUUCCAGCGUCCGGGAAAUAUUUCUUCUCCUCCUUUACCUCUCCAUCGGAACAGUCCUCUUCGCCAGCGUCAUGUACUUCCUGGAGAGAGAGAACAUGCGCAGUAUCCCUGACGCCGCUUGGUGGGUGGUCGUUACCAUGACAACAGUCGGGUAUGGAGAUAUGUCACCGAUCUCGCUUCAGGGGAAGCUGCUCGGAUGCCUUUGCGCCAUCUGUGGGGUGAUUCUAAUCGCCGUCACGGUGCCAAUCUUUGUGAGCAACUUCCUACUAUUUUAUACGUAUUCAAAGGCGAUCGAGGAGAUUGAGGGCGGUGAGCAAGAAGGCAGUGAGUCUGUUGACGAGGCAUGGGGACGCAUAACUAGACAAGAUGGCGUCCAGUUUAAGACACGCAUGGCGGAAGCGAAAAAGGGAGUUAAUACAGUGAAACCUCAAGAAACGAUUAUCCUGGAUGAUGUAAAGUUUUGAUCUGAUAGCUGCAACACGUUUAACUCGAAGUUAAAGCGGAUUUAAGUGCAGCUUCGAGGUAAAAUGGUGAAUAUGAACCUGCAGUCAUUAGUAUUUUUUUGUUCCGGCGAAAAUCGUAAAUGUUAAAUCGACAUGUAUUCGACGAAUGUAAGACGUCAAAUUAACGAUACGUGAACUAGGGAGGUGGUGAAUGACAGCUGACACAAGCCCAAUCAACCACUGCGCCACUGUUUGCUAUGCAGAGUUGCGUCCCUUGGGUGUGCCAGCAAACUGCACGUGUGAUCGUUGGUUCGAUUUGGGUUCUUCCCGCAUGAAGCUGAUACGCUGUGAUCUAACUGAAAUACCGUUUUCCUGCGUUUAACCGUCCACACUCACACACUCACCCCAGUAAAACGAGCAAGUUGUCGAGGGUCGAAUGUACGGUAUCGGUUUCAAAUCAGAUUUUGUUAUUGUUAUUUUAUUAUUGAGAUAGACGUGGGUACAUGCGUAUUUACAUGUUAUAACUAAAUUGCAAUAACCUAAAUGGCUCAAGUUCAGUAAACUACGGUUAUAGCGAACUCAAAGGGACUACUAAUAUUAGUUCGUUAUAACCGUAGUUCGUUAUAAGCAUAUAUACAGCAUAACUACAGCAAACAGUCGGGACCAAAAAAGUAAGUUCGUUAUAUCCGUCAGUUUGUUAUAUGCGUGUUCGUUAUAACCGUAGUUUACUGUAAGUUGUUUUGGAUCCAGUCACAUUUGAAGCUUUAAUACAUAGUCAGCAUCACGUCUGACACGUGGUUCCUACCCAAGCCCAUAUACUUCCAGUAAACAGUUAUCUUUCUACAAAUUUAGGCAAAAAUAUUUGUGUUUUAUUUUAUUCUAUUGAUAUUUUUCUUUUCUAAAUUAUGUUUUUGGUCAAAAUGAAAAUAAUUUCCGGUACAAUCUGAGACCAAUUCGAACAUUAAUUUGUCGAUCGUUUGCUGAAUAACACCGACACGGUCUUAACAAAUAAAACUGUUUGUUGUCGAAUUUUGUAAAGAGGUCUGUUGACGUCGAAUUUGGUAAAGAGGUAUGCUGACGUCGAAUUUGGUAAAGAGGUAUGUUGACGUCGAAUUUUGUGAAGAGGUAUGUUGACGUCGAAUUAGGUAAAGAGGUAUGUUGACGUCGAAUUAUGUAAAGAGGUAUGUUGACGUCGAACUUGGUAAAGAGGUAUGCUGACGUCGAAUUUUGUAAAGAGGUAUGCUGACGUCGAAUUUGGUAAAGAGGUAUGUUGAAGUAGAAUUUGGUAAAGCGGUAUGUUGACGUCAAAUUUGGUAGAGAGGUAUGCUGACGUCGAAUUUGGUGAAGAUGUAUGUUGACGUCGAAUUUGGUAAAGAUGUAUGUUGACGUCGGAUUUUGUGAAGAGGUAUGCUGACGUCGAAUUUUGUAAAGAGUCAUGCUGACGUCGAAUUUUGUGAAGAUGUAUGUUGACGUCGAAUUAUGUAAAGAGGUAUGUUGACGUCAAACUUGGUAAAGAGGUAUGCAGACGUCGAAUUUUGUAAAGAGGUAUGCUGACGUCGAAUUUUGUAAAGAGGUAUGUUGAAGUAGAAAUUGGUAAAGCGGUAUGUUGACGUCAAAUUUGGUAGAGAGGUAUGCUGACGUCGACUUUUGUGAAGAUGUAUGUUGACGUCGGAUUUUGUGAAGAGGUAUGCUGACGUCGAAUUUGGUAAAGAUGUAUGUUGACGUCGAAUUUUGUGAAGCGGUAUGCUGACGUCGAAUUUGGUAAAGAGGUAUGUUGACGUCGAAUUUUGUAAAGAGGUAUGUUGACGUCGAAUUUUGUGAAGAGGUAUGUUGACGUCGACUUAGGUAAAGAGGUAUGUUGACGUCGAAUUAUGUAAAGAGGUAUGUUGACGUCGAACUUGGUAAAGAGGUAUGCUGACGUCGAAUUUUGUAAAGAGGUAUGCUGACGUCGAAUUUGGUAAAGAGGUAUGUUGAAGUAGAAUUUGGUAAAGCGGUAUGUUGACGUCAAAUUUGGUAGAGAGGUAUGCUGACGUCGAAUUUGGUGAAGAUGUAUGUUGACGUCGAAUUUGGUAAAGAUGUAUGUUGACGUCGGAUUUUGUGAAGAGGUAUGCUGACGUCGAAUUUUGUAAAGAGUCAUGCUGACGUCGAAUUUUGUGAAGAUGUAUGUUGACGUCGAAUUAUGUAAAGAGGUAUGUUGACGUCAAACUUGGUAAAGAGGUAUGCAGACGUCGAAUUUUGUAAAGAGGUAUGCUGACGUCGAAUUUUGUAAAGAGGUAUGUUGAAGUAGAAAUUGGUAAAGCGGUAUGUUGACGUCAAAUUUGGUAGAGAGGUAUGCUGACGUCGAAUUUUGUGAAGAUGUAUGUUGACGUCGGAUUUUGUGAAGAGGUAUGCUGACGUCGAAUUUGGUAAAGAUGUAUGUUGACGUCGAAUUUUGUGAAGCGGUAUGCUGACGUCGAAUUUGGUAAAGAGGUAUGUUGACGUCGAAUUUUGUAAAGAGGUAUGUGGACGUCGAAUUUUGUAAAGAGGUCUGUUGACGUCGAAUUUGGUAAAGAUGUCUGUUAGCGUCAAAUGUGUUAAGGAACAUUUAUUUGCAUAUUGACAUCCCACUUUCACCACAUGAUUAUUUUAAUACAACAGGCAUGUAAUUAAGCGCGCACAUGCUGAAAGUAUAGAUAAUAGUUACAUAAUCGAUAUAUCAGGCCUUCACCUAUGCUGCUGAACUAACUUUACUGUUUUCUGUUGACACAUCGGAGACGCCUGGUAUUGACACGCACUGGGUUAUCUUGAUACGAAACAGAACUUAAUGCAUGUAUGUAGCAAUCCCCUGAGGGUUCUGUAAUUAGCAAUUACGUUUCUGUUAUUGCAUAUUUUGCCUUAACGCUUGUUCAUGUCGUGGCGGAGGAUUGAAACGACCACUGUCCAUGCAGGUUCUGACUCUAGCCCAGACAGUGAAACCCCGUUUAUCCGGACACGUGUUAAUCAGGACGCUUUGGAACGCCAAUAUCACGCUCCGUAUUAACAGGGUUCCACCGUAUUUCCAUUUCAAAGUGCGAGACACCCAGUGGUUGAUAGCUGGGCGAUGAUUCUCGCCUUCAGGGCAUGAUGAGGAUAGACAUGUAGCCAGGUCCCACAGUGGGAAAAACCCGAUCUCAUUACAGUAACUUAAAAUUGAAAAAAAAUGGCAACCAUUUCAGUAAAAAUGUCAUUAUUUGUUAUUUACAAAUAAAACGGUAACAUCAAAGAUGGAGAUGAAGAUGAUGAUGAAGUUUAUCUGACCUUUUUUUUCGGAGUCUAAUAAACAAGUUUCACCUCGAAUCAAUUAUCGAAAUCCAAAUUGGUACACAUUGCAUUCCCUAUUCCAUUAUAUUCGAUAAGUUUCAAUCGCUAUUUAUAACUUUAUCAGCAUAUCAUGUUUGUUUAUUUUUUUAAUUGUAUAUGUGCCCUUUUCUGUAAAUUUACGAAUGUGUCUAAAUAUGUAUUCAUGUACCUUUUAUACCACUGUUUUUGGCCUGGGCGUAAUAAAGUUCAGUUCACUUAUGUGGGGGAUCGGGUGGCCACGUGGCAAAGACUCAACAACGUAAUAUACAGAAUUGUGGGUUCGAGUCUCAAAGUAUGUCCGAUUAUGACCCUUGAUUUGUCGAUGCUGCUACCACAGGCACUACAUUGUUUUUGGCAUCUAACCGACAGUGAUAUACAGUGACAGUAUUGUAUACACCGGGAUUAAACUGAACCUCAUCAGUCUCUUUACAGAUGCGUCUAAAUAAGAUGCGUAAGUCGUGUUCGGCAUUGAGAUUAGUUUUGUUUUUGUUUAUGCAACUAAGUUGCUGAAAUUAAAGCCAUUGUUGUAUAGUUUAGGGAUUGUUUUGUGUACAGUAAAACUUGAUAAAUUGAAAUAUCAUCUGGUAUGUUGUCUUUAUAAGCUGGUAUGUUGUGUUUAUCAGCUGGUAUGUUGUCUUUAACAGCUGGUAUUUUGUCUUUAUCAGCUGGUAUGUUGUGUUUAUCAGCUGGUAUGUUGUCUUUAACAGCUGGUAUUUUGUCUUUAUCAGCUGGUAUGUUGUCUUUAUCAGCUGGUAUGUUGUCUUUAAAAGCUGGUAUGUUGUCUUUAUCAGCUGGUAUGGUGUCUUUAACAGCUGGUAUGAUGGCUUUAUCAGCUGGUGUGUUGUCUUCAUGUUGUUUUUAUCAGCUGGUAUGAUUGCUUUAACAGCUGGUAUUUUGUGUUUAAAAGCUGGUAUGUUGUCUUUAUCAGCUGGUAUGGUGUCUUUAACAGCUGGUAUGAUGGCUUUAUCAGCUCGUGUGUUGUCUUCAUGUUGUUUUUAUCAGCUGGUAUGAUUGCUUUAACAGCUGGUAUUUUGUGUUUAAAAGCUGGUAUGUUGUCUUUAUCAGCUGGUAUGGUGUCUUUAACAGCUGGUAUGAUGGCUUUAUCAGCUGGUGUGUUGUCUUCAUGUUGUUUUUAUCAGCUGGUCUGCUGGCUUUAACAGCUGGUAUGUUGGCUUUAACAGCUGGUAUGCUAGCUAUAACAGCUGGUAUGUUGUAUUUAUGUUAUCAGUAUCAGCUGGUAUGUUGUCUUUAUCAGCUGGUAUGUUGGCUUUAUCAGCUGGUAUGUUGGCUUUAACAGCUGGCGUGUUGUUUUUUAUCAGCUGGUAUGUUGGCUUUAACAGCUGGUGUUUUGUUUUUUAUCAGCUGGUAUGUUGGCUUUAACAGCUGGUAUGUUGUCUUCAUGUUAUCAUUAUCAACUGGUAUGUUGUGUUUAUCAGCUGGUAUGUUGUCUUUAACAGCUGGUAUGUUGUUUUUAUCAGCUGGUGUGUGUCAUGUUGGCUUUAACAGCUAGUAUGUUGGCUUUAUGAGCUGGUAUGUUGUCUUUAUCAGCUGGUAUUUUGGCUAGAGCUACUGUGCAUUCAUCAAGUUAAUGACUGAAAUUAUGAACAGUUGCUUCAGUUGUAUAUUUCUCAUUUCUAAGAGUGAGAGUGAGUGUGAAUUUUGUUUUACACCGCUCUGAGUAAUAUUCCCAGCACCGCGGAGAACACAAGAAAUCGUCUUCACACAUUCUACCCAUGUGGAGAAUCAAACCCGGGCUUUCAGUGUGACGGGCGAACACUUUAACCACGGGGCUACCCCAUCGUUCCAGUUCAUUUGAAGGGUUACCACAGUUUAUAACCAGGAGAAUCUCUCUGGUCAGGUCAAUUUUACCCGAAAACUCAAGAAAAUUAAUGUAAUGCACCAUGUGUUUUGUAGGAUCAGGUACAGGACAGGAUUUUUAAGGGAUAUUAUUUUAUAAUAAUUAAUGAGUGAAAUGCACAAGGUUGUGUUAGGUUGAUACAAAGUUUCAUAGUCAACAGUUUUAAGGAAGGAACAUAUUUAUUGUGCACUGCUUUAUUCAAUGACGCGCGGAAUUUAUUUUUGUAACAUGUUCUCUAUGUUUAAAUAAAAUGUGGCCUCCCCUA
rnacentral:misc_RNA from 1 species